AUACAGAGGGUGCAAGCGUUAAUCGGAUUUACUGGGCGUAAAGCGCGCGUAGGUGGCUAAUUAAGUCAAAUGUGAAAUCCCCGAGCUUAACUUGGGAAUUGCAUUCGAUACUGGUUAGCUAGAGUAUGGGAGAGGAUGGUAGAAUUCCAGGUGUAGCGGUGAAAUGCGUAGAGAUCUGGAGGAAUACCGAUGGCGAAGGCAGCCAUCUGGCCUAAUACUGACACUGAGGUGCGAAAGCAUGGGGAGCAAACAGGAUUAGAUACCCGGGUAGUCCAUGCCGUAAACGAUGUCUACUAGCCGUUGGGGCCCUUGAGGCUUUAGUGGCGCAGCUAACGCGAUAAGUAGACCGCCUGGGGAGUACGGUCGCAAGACUAAAACUCAAAGGAAUUGACGGGG
rnacentral:rRNA from 1 species